UGAGAGUAGUGUCUUAAGGGGGUGGUAUGUCCCAUCCAAGGCUAAAUAACGUGAGGAGACCGAUAGAUUACAAGUAGUGUGAACGAAAGAUGAAAAGAACUCUAAAACAGAGGGUGAAAAGUUCCUGAACUUGCUUAGGGUUAAGGCUAUUUAUAGUACCCGUCUUGAAACACGGAUUAGGGAGUUUAUCUGUAGUGCGAGUCUUUGCACGUUAACUGUAAAGGCGUAGAGAAAGCAACUGGCGUUUGCAUGGCUACUGAGCAUUACUGAUAGGACCCGAAAGGUGGUGAACUUUGCCUGCACAGGUUGAAGUCAGGGGAAACUCUGAUGGAGGACCGUACGGGUUAUUGAUGUGCAAAUCAUUUUUCUGAUGUAGGUAAAGGUGCGAAAGACUCAUCGAACCACCUAAUAGCUGGUUUCCUCCGAAGUUUCCCUCAGGAUAGCUGUAAUGCAUUUAGUUAAGGGGAGUAGAGAUAUGGGUAGAGGUGCAGGGAGCCUUCGGGUUCUCAACUUAUUUCCAAACUUCGAACCUCCUUGUUAGGCAUUUACCUAACUGGAAAUGCUUAAAUGAAUUAGCGUUACAAGUGGGCUCUGACCGGUAAGCGGUCAUGGCGAAAUGGGAUGAACCAUACGUCUGAAUAAGGUGCCGAAAUGUACUAUCACUGAUACCAUAAAGGGAGUCCAUGUAUUUAGACAGCAGGUCGGUGCCCCUAAAAGCAGGUAUCCGCUAAAGAGUGUGUUAAAACUCACCUGCCGAAUACUAGGGCCCCGAAAAUGAAUGGCGCAUAUAGUACUACCGAUCUCAGACAUCAGUUCUAUUGAACUGAGAGUAGGGGGAUGUGGACAUUUUUGUGAAGGUGCAAUGUGAGUUGGACUGGAAGAAUGUCUAUUACAGAUCCUAAUUGAAGUAGCGAUUAUCCAGGCUUGUAUCCUGGGGGCUGAUGAGGAGUAGGUUUUCUGGACAACUUAAACAGAUCCCGAGUUA
rnacentral:ncRNA from 2 species